rnacentral:rRNA from 1 species
UGCCAGCCGCCGCGGUAAUACGAAGGGGGCUAGCGUUGUUCGGAAUUACUGGGCGUAAAGCGCACGUAGGCGGAUGAUUAAGUUAGAGGUGAAAGCCCAGGGCUCAACCCUGGAAUUGCCUUUAAUACUGGUCGUCUUGAGUUCGGAAGAGGAGAGUGGAAUUCCCAGUGUAGAGGUGAAAUUCGUAGAUAUUGGGAAGAACACCCGUGGCGAAGGCGGCCAUCUGGACGAUGACUGACGCUGAGACGCGAAAGCGUGGGGAGCAAACAGGAUUAGAUA